UUGGCACAACAGAAGGUUUUCAUUUUAAUGAUGUCCAGCCUGUCCAUUCUCUCUCAUGGAUUGCACCUUUGGUGUUGGAUCUAAAAUGUCAUCAUCCAAGCUGAGGUCCCCUGGACUUCCUUCUACAUUCCAGGAGUUUUAAAGUUUGCAUUUUACGUUUGGGUCUGCCAUCCAUCUUGAGUUAAUUCUCGUGAAGCCUGGAAGGUCCGGGUCUAGACUCAUUUCUUUGCAUGUGGACACCCAGUUGUUCCUGUGCCCUUUGUGGAAAAGACUGUGCUCUGAUGUAUUGCCUUUGCUUUUUUGUCAAAGACUAGUCACCUGUAUUUAUGAGGGUCUAUUCUGUUCCAGUAUUAUGUUUGUCCUUUCAUAAAUACCACCCUGUCUCGAUUACCGUGGCUUUAUACGAAGUCUUAAAUGUUCAUUAUUCUUUAACAGUAAUACAGUUCUGUGACUAGUAGUUUUAAAGCCCUGAAGUACCUUUCUUCUAAAUAAUUUAAAUGGUUUCCCUUGUUGUUCUUGUGUUUGUGUUCUCCUUGAGGAAGCUGAAAUACUGAGUCUCUCCUGUGUGUCGCUGGUGCCGGGGGCAGGAUUAAAUACGUGUCACAGCCUAAUCACUGGAGACCAGGUCCCUGACGGGAGGUUGUAGGAAACAUGAUGUGACCCAGCAGCGUGAGGGGCCAGGAGAGGCUGUCAGAUGGAUGUGGCUCAAGUGAAACGAAGCCAGGGGCAUGAAGCCGGGCGCCCAGUACAAGAGCCAGACGUUCCAACGAAACUCCAAGCAGACACCUCUCACUCCCAGAUUUCCUCCUAUUAUUUACAUAAGUGCUGCGCUUUGACAGAUGCUUUGUCAUCCCAUAACCCUAUAUGGUAUUUUAGGUAAAUGGCAUGAAAAAUCGAUUUUUAACCCAAAAAAAAAAAAAAAGAGAAACUUGGUCCUCCAUGCUUUUAUCAGUGAUGAGACCCCCCCCAAAUCUAAUAUUCUUUUCCUUUAGAAAAAGAUUUAUUCACCUGCUACCCUUUCUGAACUUCUAAAACGUGAAGUGACAAAUACAAGUCUCAUAGAGUAUCCUGGUUCUGAUGAGCAAGACAGUAGAACUUGAUAGAAAAUCCUGAAUGGGAAGCACAGUAGCAGAACCACUCAGCCAGAAACUCAAACCUGCCAAAACUCUUUGUGAAGGAAGGUAGAGAAGCAGUCUUCAGAAGGGGUCUGAACAGUCAGAGGCCGUUCCGCUCUGCAGAAAUGCAAGAAAGACAGAUUAUAUUCUCACGCUUGGAUGUGCCCAACUUCUGCCCAGAGCACCGCUGAGCUAUGUGUUAUUUGUAGGCUGACUCCCCCCACUUAGUUUUAAAGGUGAUCGUAUUUUAAAUACAAGUACAAUUCAUGCAAAA